AGCUUUGUAUGCCCCUAAAAUUAGGAGCAGUGGGAUCCAGGAGUCAGUUCACAAAAAAGCCUUUUUUGUGAACUGACUCCUGGAUCCCACUGCUCCUAAUUUUAGGGGCAUACAAAGCU